CGGUGGAGCAUGUGUUUAAUUCGAAGCAACGCGAAGAACCUUACCAGGUCUUGACAUCCCUGACACCCGAGAGAUCGGGCGUUCCCCUUCGGGGGACAGGGUGACAGGUGGUGCAUGGUUGUCGUCAGCUCGUGUCGUGAGAUGUUGGGUUAAGUCCCGCAACGAGCGCAACCCUCGACCUUAGUUGCCAGCAUUCAGUUGGGCACUCUAAGGUGACUGCCGGCUAAAAGUCGGAGGAAGGUGGGGAUGACGUCAAAUCAUCAUGCCCCUUAUGACCUGGGCUACACACGUGCUACAAUGGGCGGUACAAAGGGUCGCGAACCCGCGAGGGGGAGCCAAUCCCAAAAAGCCGCUCUCAGUUCGGAUUGCAGGCUGCAACUCGCCUGCAUGAAGCCGGAAUCGCUAGUAAUCGCGGAUCAGCAUGCCGCGGUGAAUACGUUCCCGGGCCUU
rnacentral:rRNA from 1 species